AAGACCUACAAGAUAAUCAUGAAUCAGUUUGGGUUUUACAGCUGUGAAGUACAGGCACCAUAUACAGAUCUGCCAUCAAUGUAUGGCUCUACUGGAAUGUUCCCUCUCAGUGAAAUACAUUCUCUUCAGAAAAGGAGCAAGACAGGCACAAAAUAAACCCAGAAGAGGAAAUCCCAGAACCACCCACAUGCACAGAACAGAGAUGUUAAUACUCUCAGCCUUUCUGCCUUCCUAACCUUUGCUGUUGCUCUUUGGUUUGGCUCCUCUCGUGACUUCAGUGCUCCCAUGCCCAGAGAUGGGAGCUGUGUCUGGAAGACAGUGAUUCUACCUCCAGUGGGGGACAUCAGCUUAAAGGCAGCCUGUAAUGCAGGCCCCAGAGCACUCUGAGUUUCCAGGGACUUGGUAAACAUCUGUGGCAAUGUCUUCAGCAGAUCUUGAAUUAG